UUGAACUUCAUGGAAUAAAAUCAUACAGUAUAUAACCUUUUGCACCUGGCUGCUUGUAAUCAACAUUGUGUCUAUGAGAGAUAUCCAGAUUGUUGUGAAGUGAUAGAUUCCAGUUUAUGACAUGCCUUAGGAAGAUCAUGAACUCAUCUCCUCCCAUUAACACACUGAAUCUACAGCUACAUGUGGAGCAGUUUUCUCUGGGAAAAAACCUAAAAACUAGCUGAAUGUCUUCUCUACACAUCAGGCGGAGUACAUUGUGUGAAAUGCCAGGCUGGAUGAAUCACAAACUGAAAUCAGGAUUGCU